rnacentral:rRNA from 1 species
UACGUAGGGGGCAAGCGUUGUCCGGAAUCAUUGGGCGUAAAGCGCGUGUAGGCGGCCCGAUAAGUCCGCUGUGAAAAGUCCAGGGCUCAACCCUGGAAUGCCGGUGGAUACUGUCGGGCUCGAGUCCGGAAGAGGCGAGUGGAAUUCCUGGUGUAGCGGUGAAAUGCGCAGAUAUCAGGAGGAACACCGAUGGCGAAGGCAGCUCGCUGGGACGGUACUGACGCUGAGACGCGAAAGCGUGGGGAGCAAACAGG